UACGGGGGGGGGCAAGCGUUGUUCGGAAUUACUGGGCGUAAAGGGCUCGUAGGUGGCCAACUAAGUCAGACGUGAAAUCCCUCGGCUUAACCGGGGAACUGCGUCUGAUACUGGAUGGCUUGAGUUUGGGAGAGGGACGCGGAAUUCCAGGUGUAGCGGUGAAAUGCGUAGAUAUCUGGAGGAACACCGGUGGCGAAGGCGGCCUUCUGGACAAUGACUGACGCUGAGACGCGAAAGCGUGGGGAGCAAACAGG
rnacentral:rRNA from 1 species